GACGAACGCUGGCGGCGUGCUUAACACAUGCAAGUCGAACGGAAAGGCCCUGCUUUUGUGGGGUGCUCGAGUGGCGAACGGGUGAGUAACACGUGAGUAACAUGCCCUUGACUGUGGGGUAACUUCAGGAAACUGGGGCUAAUACCGGAUAGGAGCUCCUGCUGCAUGGUGGGGGUUGGAAAGUUUCGGCGGUUUGGGAUGGACUGGCGGGUUAUCAGCUUGUUGGUGGGGUAGUGGCUUACCAAGGCUUUGACGGGUAGCCGGCCUGGGAGGGGAGACGGGCACAAUGGGACUGAGAUACGGCGCAGACGCCUACGGGACGCAGCAGGCGGGAGCAUUGCACAACGGGCGCGAGCCUGAGGCAGCAACGCCGCGUGCGUGAUGACGGCCUUCGGGGUGUAAACCGCUGUCGCAUUUGACGAAGAGUGAGUGACGGUAACGGGUAAAGAAGCAACGGCUAACUACGUG
rnacentral:rRNA from 1 species